CCUACGGGAGGCAGCAGUGGGGAAUAUUGCACAAUGGGGGAAACCCUGAUGCAGCGACGCCGCGUGAGUGAAGAAGUAUUUCGGUAUGUAAAGCUCUAUCAGCAGGGGAGAAAAUGACGGUACCUGAUUAAGAAGCCCCGGCUAACUACGUGCCAGCAGCCGCGGUAAUACGUAGGGGGCAAGCGUUAUCCGGAUUUACUGGGUGUAAAGGGGGCGUAGACGGCAGCACAAGUCUGGAGUGAAAUGCCGGGGCUUAACCCCGGAACUGCUUUGGAAACUGUGCAGCUAGAGUGCAGGAGAGGUAAGUGGAAUUCCGAGUGUAGCGGUGAAAUGCGUAGAUAUUAGGAGGAACACCAGUGGCGAAGGCGGCUUACUGGACUGUAACUGACGUUGAGGCUCGAAAGCGUGGGGAGCAAACAGGAUUAGAUACCCCAGUAGUC
rnacentral:rRNA from 1 species